CUCCACACUGGUUGGUGACCUGGCUCUGCAGUUCACUCUGCUGCUUCAGAUGAAAAUUUUCAGGUCUGUCUGCCACUGUAGUGAAGGACUGCUUUGGGUAGUGUCUGUGGAGAAACUUUUUAAAGGACAUAGUUAAAAUAUUGUGCUACAAACCAAUUCUUGAACACCAAUCGUUUUGUCCUACCUCUCUGUGACAGUGAAAGAUGGCUGUGCUCUUGGCAAAGGUCAUCUCUCUGUCAUGAUUCUGGAUCUCCUUUUCUUCUCCUGAUUAUCUGUCACUCAGUUAUCCCCACUGUCUUCCACAACUUUAACCUCAGCUUCUCUAUUCUAGGAGACUCUUCUCGCAGGCUCAAGGCUCUCCUACCCUCCAUCAUUCCUCCCUCUACCCCACACAGCCAGCAUGUGUCCAGCUAGUCUAUCCUUCAGCCAAACUUCCUUAGAAAGAGGCCUUACCUCACUGUCCCUACCCAUCUCCUCUCUGACUCACUUCUUAACUCCAUGACUGGGUUCUGGUUUCUUUCCCUUGCCUGUUGUGACUUCCUAUGGACACAGCCAAAAACCAUCACAUAGUCCUGUUGUAUGGCAUCCCCUCCAUCUUGAAAUGUCCUCUCCCUCAGUUCCUAUAUGUUAUCACACAUGCCUGCCUUGGCUUCUCCCUCUAGUUGUUCCUUCUCUGUCUUCUGUGGGCUUCUUAUUGUCUGCUCACUCCUUCUUCAGUGUCCUCACAUGGGCUUCCUUCCCUUCUCAGCUGAUGCCAUCACCUGGGGAAUCACAGUUACUCAGCAGCACUGGGGCC
rnacentral:lncRNA from 1 species